GGUUUUAUCUCUACUUGACAGACUGCGCACAUGAACAACUUAAACAAGUUGCAAAGUGGAUACUUUGUAUCUAAUCUGUCAGAAAGCAUGGCUGAUCCUUCCUCAUAUAAUUCCUCUACCACAUCUAACUCAAGAUGUUCUUUAUCAACUUUAGAGGAUGAUUCAGAUGAUUUUCUGCGAAACAUGGACUUAAGCACUCCCUUCACCUGCUUUUUUGGUGCUGGCACAGGACCAGCUGG
rnacentral:misc_RNA from 1 species